rnacentral:rRNA from 1 species
AGAGUUUGAUCCUGGCUCAGGACGAACGCUGGCGGCGUGCCUAAUACAUGCAAGUCGAGCGCGGGAAGCGAGCGGAUCCCUUCGGGGUGAAGCUCGUGGAACGAGCGGCGGACGGGUGAGUAACACGUGGGCAACCUGCCUGUAAGAUCGGAAUAACCCCGGGAAACCGGGGCUAAUGCCGGGUAAUACUUUCUUUCGCAUGAAGGAAAGUUGAAAGAUGGCUUCUUGCUAUCACUUACAGAUGGGCCCGCGGCGCAUUAGCUAGUUGGUGAGGUAACGGCUCACCAAGGCGACGAUGCGUAGCCGACCUGAGAGGGUGAUCGGCCACACUGGGACUGAGACACGGCCCAGACUCCUACGGGAGGCAGCAGUAGGGAAUCUUCCGCAAUGGACGAAAGUCUGACGGAGCAACGCCGCGUGAACGAUGAAGGUCUUCGGAUCGUAAAGUUCUGUUGUUAGGGAAGAACAAGUACCGUGCGAAUAGAGCGGCACCUUGACGGUACCUAACGAGGAAGCCCCGGCUAACUACGUGCCAGCAGCCGCGGUAAUACGUAGGGGGCAAGCGUUGUCCGGAAUUAUUGGGCGUAAAGCGCGCGCAGGCGGUUCCUUAAGUCUGAUGUGAAAGCCCACGGCUCAACCGUGGAGGGUCAUUGGAAACUGGGGAACUUGAGGACAGAAGAGGAGAGUGGAAUUCCACGUGUAGCGGUGAAAUGCGUAGAUAUGUGGAGGAACACCAGUGGCGAAGGCGACUCUCUGGUCUGUUUCUGACGCUGAGGUGCGAAAGCGUGGGUAGCAAACAGGAUUAGAUACCCUGGUAGUCCACGCCGUAAACGAUGAGUGCUAGGUGUUAAGGGGCUUCCACCCCUUAGUGCUGAAGUUAACGCAUUUAAGCACUCCGCCUGGGGAGUACGGGCGCAAGGCUUGAAACUCAAAGGAAUUGACGGGGGCCCGCACAAGCGGUGGAAGCUUGUGGUUUAAUUCGAAGCAACGCGAAGAACCUUACCAGGUCUUGACAUCCUUGGACAAUCCUAGAGAUAGACUUCCUUCAGG